UGGGAUAUAGUUCAGUUGGUAGAGUGCUUGCCUCGAAUGUACAAAGCCUUGGGUUCAAUUCCCAGCAUCCCAC
rnacentral:tRNA from 1 species